CCCUGGUUAGCUCAGUUGUUAGAGCGCUCCACCUGUAAUUGAGAGGUCCCGUGUUCGAUCCCGGACCAGGCG
rnacentral:tRNA from 1 species